rnacentral:rRNA from 1 species
UACGAAGGGUGCAAGCGUUAAUCGGAAUUACUGGGCGUAAAGCGCGCGUAGGUGGUUUGUUAAGUUGGAAGUGAAAGCCCCGGGCUCAACCUGGGAACUGCAUCCAAAACUGGCGAGCUAGAGUAUGGCAGAGGGUAGUGGAAUUUCCUGUGUAGCGGUGAAAUGCGUAGAUAUAGGAAGGAACACCAGUGGCGAAGGCGACUACCUGGACUGAUACUGACACUGAGGUGCGAAAGCGUGGGGAGCAAACAGG